AGAAUGAAGUGAUGUGAAACGACCGUUUAAUGCAUGUUCAUUCAAAGUAACAAUCACUAACACGUGGAUAGACAGACCCAAGUGAGUAAUUAGUGAUUUAUUUGGUCUACUAACAAGCAUUUUCCCCGUCACAAACCAAAUAUUCUCCUACAGCCCAUGCUCUGGGUACGACGAGCAGAUUUGUCUUUCUUGGCUUUUCGAGCACGAGUGUAUGCAGCACAAUGUGACAAUUCUGGUUUCAUUUUAUUUUCAUCAUAACAAGUUCCACAUAACCUGAGGUGUGUCUUACAUCCACCUUUGGGAAUUUGAUCAAWGGAAGACAAGAAACCCAGAAGUCUUGGGCUCUGUUGUUUGGUCAAACUAUUUUUGAUGUACGCCACCAACCAACAAUCCUCAUGGAAUAAAGGUCUUCCAAGGUCUCUACACUGGUCCAGUUUAUCACUUGUGUCUUGCCAUCGUCGAUUGAGAGUUUUGACAACAUAGUUGAUGUCAUGUGCAGAGUCUUCUUCAAUGGCUGGGUGUAGCUGCUUGGUCAAAGUGUUGAUCUUGUCCAUGUAGCAUUGCUUGAUGUCACGUUCUUCGCAUUUGACCUGUGAUGUAACAAGAAUGAAUAUCAUGAUAUAUGGUUGCACUCUACUUUUAAAUUAUGUCUGAGGCCAGAAAAGACAAGCGAUGGACUUUGGAGAAAGGGCAAGUGAUGGACUCGGGAUUAUUUGGUAGGAUUGCAGAAUAUGACACAAUAUCGCCAGCACCAAUACCUUUUCGAGGUCUCGCCAGCACCAAUACCUCCUCGAGGUCUCACCAGCACCACUGCCUCCUCGAGGUCCCACCAGCACAGGUUGUUGCUACCCCCUGCUGACCAGGACCACAGCAGUAAAUUACUGUCCCGACAACAGCCAUCUUAUGAAACCAUACCAGGUGACUCCUCUAAUGGUGAACACUGGUGAUAAGUAUAUCAGACUCUGAACUCCCUACAGACCCAUGAGAGUACCUUGGUGACAAGGCAGCCUUUGUACUGUGAGGAUUAUUGCAAGUAGGAGAAUUACAAAAUAACCACACCCCACCAACCCAUAGGUUUUACUGCACAACAGUGAUUUAUAUAUCUGAGCAAUGUAAUCUAUAAUGUAGAGGGACUGGGUUUUAUUUAUUCAAUUAAGUAUUAAUUUAUUCAUCACAUGGGUGAAUGCGAGGCUGCUGAGCAACUGGGUUUUAUUUAAUCAAAUAAGUAUUUAUGUAUUCAGAGUUUGCUGAGGGACUGGGUCUAUAAUGUAUUCAAUUAAGUAUUAAUAUAUUCAGAGUCUGCUGAGGGACUGGGUCUAUAAUGUAUUAAAUUAAGUAUUAAUAUAUUCAGAGUCUGCUAAGGGACUGGGCCUGUAUUUUAUUUUAUUAAGGAUUACAUGUGUGAAUGGGUGAAUUCGAGGCUAUGUGUGGAGGCAAAUCUAUUGUUCCACGAGGACAUGGUUGCCGCGUGAGUAAGGUUCAUUGAAGGUAAAAUGAUGUCAUCAUGAAAUAAAACAAUGUUUAAAGCAGAA